rnacentral:lncRNA from 1 species
GAAGUGGGUUCUUGAUAUGUUGCCCAGGCUGAGAGUUUCGUUAUGGCCAGCUGUGACACAGAAAGGUUGUUCCUACUUUGGCCAUUGGAGCUCUUUCCAGUUAGCUUCUCUUCCUUGGACAGCUUCCAUACGUUUUUGAGCACUUCCUUAUUUCUGACACCAGAAGAUGACUCAGGCUUGACUUGUAUUCUCCCCGUCCAACAAUGGAAUCUGCCAUUUCUCCAAGGAGCCCUGAUUCCUUUUAUUUGAGCGUGGUACAUAGAAGCUGAGCAACUUUUUCUCUCUUUCUAAUAAAUGCUAAUUCAGGAAAAAUAAAAAACUUAUAAAACAAAACUUCUCCUCUCAAAAUAAAAAUAAUUUUAC